CUCCGAGUAGCUAUAAACUUGCAUUAAAAAGGAAUAAACACAAGUGACACAAUAAAAUGUACUUAAUAUAUGAACUCACGAACAUUGUGUGCAGGAAAAGUUAAUAGAAAUAAUGGUCAAUUACAUCAUGUAAUUUGGUUCUAUACUCUUUUGUGUAUAUAUCCUGAAUGCUACCUCUUUGUGAUCAACUCUUUGUCCUUCGAAUCGAAUGGCACAGCUACUGCCCCUUGUGGAAAAAGAAAUCACUCUGUAAUACCCAUAAAUGUAAGAGGCAAAUAUCAUGUGAUGCAUCUCAACCUGCGCAAAACAAUGUAAAAACUGUACAUGCUAUCUACAUACUCUCAUUGUGUAGCAAAGCAACAAAGCAUAAGGACCCUAUGUCACAACUGUACCUUGAAGCACGAUCAACAUGCAGGACCUAGCUCGUAAUUCUAUUUAGGAAUCAUUGUCUUCAUAAAGUAAUCAGUAAACUUGGUCAUCCAUGGACCGACUGUAGCUUGCUUGCUAAUUUCCACCUGUCACAAAUAAGACAAU
rnacentral:rRNA from 1 species